CUGGGGUACUCGAGUGGCGAACGGGUGAGUAACACGUGGGUGAUCUGCCCUGCACUUCGGGAUAAGCUUGGGAAACUGGGUCUAAUACCGGAUAGGACCAUCGUUUAGUGUCGGUGGUGGAAAGUUUUUUCGGUGUGGGAUGAGCUCGCGGCCUAUCAGCUUGUUGGUGGGGUAAUGGCCUACCAAGGCGUCGACGGGUAGCCGGCCUGAGAGGGUGUACGGCCACAUUGGGACUGAGAUACGGCCCAG
rnacentral:rRNA from 1 species